rnacentral:rRNA from 1 species
CUUGACUGUAGCCUGGAAUUGGGUUCGGGCUUUUCUUGCGCAGACUAGGUGGGAGGCUAUGAAGAUUUCCUUCCGGGGAAGUUGGAGCCAACAGUGAGAGACCACUCUGGAAAGGCUAGAAUCCUCAUGGUGAUCUUUGAAUCAAGACACUUGACAGUUUCAGGUGGGCAGUUUUUCUGGGGCGGAAACCUCCUAAAGGGUAACGGAGGUGUGCAAAGGUUCCCUCAGUCUGGACGGAAAUCAGACAUUGAGUGUAAAGGCAAAAGGGAGCUUGACUGCAAGACCUACAAGUCGAGCAGGGGCGAAAGCCGGCCUUAGUGAUCCGACGGUACCGAGUGGAAGGGCCGUCGCUCAACGGAUAAAAGUUA